UACGUAGGGGGCAAGCGUUGUCCGGAAUUACGGGGCGUAAAGGGCUCGUAGGCGGCCAACUAAGUCGGAUGUGAAAUCCCCAGGCUCAACCUGGGAACUGCAUCCGAUACUGGAUGGCUUGAAUCCGGGAGAGGGAUGCAGAAUUCCAGGUGUAGCGGUGAAAUGCGUAGAUAUCUGGAGGAAUACCGGUGGCGAAGGCGGCAUCCUGGACCGGCAUUGACGCUGAGGAGCGAAAGCUAGGGGAGCAAACGGG
rnacentral:rRNA from 1 species